rnacentral:sRNA from 1 species
GCCCCUUCGUUAGACCCAUUCGCCGCGUAAAUAAAACCCUGCUCUCAAGUUAACCCCAAAUCGCACCUUUAUUUUUUUUUUCUCCUCUCAACACUUGAAACUUGGAAGAUUGUAUAUAAACAAACAAGAAUUUAAGAUCUGCCAUGAAAAUAAUUCCCUUCCCUUCUUCUGCAAACUAAGGAACUACUUGCCUUCGACUUUGAUAAAUUGCGUUUUGGGAUUCUAAUAUGAGUAGCAAUGGCGAAACUUGUAGUGCUAGUCUCGACAUUAGCGCUUUAAUUUGUCACGCUGCUGCUGGUGCCUCUGCAGAACGGCUUGUUUUACAGCGUGACAUUCAGUAUUGAUGGAUUAACUAUACAAGGGUGAGC